rnacentral:rRNA from 1 species
GACGAGCGCUGGCGGCGUGCUUAACACAUGCCAGUCGAACGGAAAGGCCCUGCUUUUGUGGGGUGCUCGAGUGGCGAACGGGUGAGUAACACGUGAGUAACCUGCCCUUGACUUUGGGAUAACUUCAGGAAACUGGGGCUAAUACCGGAUAGGAGCUCCUGCUGCAUGGUGGGGGUUGGAAAGUUUCGGCGGUUGGGGAUGGACUCGCGGCUUAUCAGCUUGUUGGUGGGGUAGUGGCUUACCAAGGCUUUGACGGGUAGCCGGCCUGAGAGGGUGACCGGCCACAUUGGGACUGAGAUACGGCCCAGACUCCUACGGGAGGCAGCAGUGGGGAAUAUUGCACAAUGGGCGGAAGCCUGAUGCAGCAACGCCGCGUGCGGGAUGACGGCCCUCGGGCUGUAAACCGCUUUCGCCUGUGACGAAGCGUGAGUGACGGUAAUGGGUAAAGAAGCACCGGCUAACUACGUG